AGUGAACGCUGGCGGUAGGCCUAACACAUGCAAGUCGAACGGCAGCACAGUAAGAGCUUGCUCUUACGGGUGGCGAGUGGCGGACGGGUGAGGAAUACAUCGGAAUCUACUUUUUCGUGGGGGAUAACGUAGGGAAACUUACGCUAAUACCGCAUACGACCUACGGGUGAAAGCAGGGGAUCUUCGGACCUUGCGCGAUUGAAUGAGCCGAUGUCGGAUUAGCUAGUUGGCGGGGUAAAGGCCCACCAAGGCGACGAUCCGUAGCUGGUCUGAGAGGAUGAGCAGCCACACUGGAACAGAGACACGGUCCAGACACCUACGGGAGGCAGCAGUGGGGAAUAUUGGACAAUGGGCGCAAGCCGGAUCCAGCCAUACCGCGUGGGUGAAGAAGGCCUUCGGGUUGUAAAGCCCUUUUGUUGUGAAAGAAAAGCAGCAGGUUAAUACCCCGCUGUUCUGACGGUACCCAAAGAAUAAGCACCGGCUAACUUCGUG
rnacentral:rRNA from 1 species